rnacentral:rRNA from 1 species
ACGGAAGGUCCAGGCGUUAUCCGGAUUUAUUGGGUUUAAAGGGAGCGUAGGCCGCAAGUCAAGCGUGUUGUGAAAUGCAGGGGCUCAACCUCUGGAUUGCAGCGCGAACUGGCAUGCUUGAGUACGCACGAGGUAGGCGGAAUUUGUGGUGUAGCGGUGAAAUGCUUAGAUAUCACGAAGAACUCCAAUUGCGAAGGCAGCUUACCGGAGCGCAACUGACGCUGAAGCUCGAAAGUGCGGGUAUCGAACAG